UACGGAAGGUGCAAGCGUUAGUCGGAAUUAUUGGGCGUAAAGGGUGCGUAGGCGGAGAUAUAAGUCGAACGUGAAAUUCUGGGGCUCAACCUCAGAGCUGCAUUCGAAACUAUAUUUCUCGAGGAUCGGCGGAGAAAACGGAAUUCCAUGUGUAGCGGUGAAAUGCGUAGAUAUAUGGAAGAACACCUGUGGCGAAAGCGGUUUUCUAGCCUAAUCCUGACGCUGAGGCACGAAAGCAAGGGGAGCAAAC
rnacentral:rRNA from 1 species